CUAACGACAUCAUAUUGUAAUGUUAACUAGCUAGAAUAAGAGAGACGAAUACUCAAUUUUUCAAGAAGAAGAAAACGAAAAGCGCAGUUUCAAGAAUGAUAAAAACAAAGAUUGCGCAAUGACGAGUUCAAAUUUUGUUCGUUGUUCGUUGUAUUGCAGGCAUACAAAAUCAUGAAUAUCAUCAAAAGUUAACAUCAAUAUAAAUAUAACCCAAAAGCUGGAUGCCAUUAAGAGCCGUCUCACUGCAAUUUAAAAGUCCCUAACAAACAAAAUGCCAGAAAAGGCCGAGAUGCAGACGCAUGCCGCGUCAUAGCGGCAAAGACAAACAUUUCAAUUAGCCGCAUCACCGGUGACUUGGAGGAUGAGCGUUACGUGGAGCUCGAGUCGAAAUUGCCUAUGUCAUCGGAAGAGCACGGGUGCUUCGGGGACAAACAUUCACAAAUGAAAAUGGAUAUUAGUUUUAAGUUGUAAAUAUUAGUUCUAAGUUGUAUAUAUUAGUUCUAAGUUGAAGUCUCUAAAUUUAGUUUUACUAAUAUGCUUUUUUAACUAAUAACUUUUAUACUGAAGUAAACUUAAUCUUAUGUUUAAGUAAGUAUGAUUUUAUUAUUAAAUAAAGCGAAA